rnacentral:rRNA from 1 species
AACCUGGUUGAUCCUGCCAGUAGUCAUACGCUCGUCUCAAAGAUUAAGCCAUGCAUGUGUAAGUUCAAUGAUUUGACCAAAAAACUGCGAAUGGCUCAUUAUAUCAGUUAUAGUUUAUUUGAUAGUCCCUUACUACUUGGAUACCCGUAGUAAUUCUAGAGCUAAUACAUGCGUAAACACUCGACCUUUGGAAGAGUGGUAUUUAUUAGAUAUAGACCAACACCCUUCGGGGUUGCUUUGGUGAUUCAUAAUAACUAAUCGGAUCGCACGGCUCAAUGCCGGCGAUGGAUCAUCCAAGUUUCUGCCCUAUCAGUUUUGGUUGGGGGUGUAUUGGACUCCCAAGACUUUGACGGGUAACGAAUUGUUAGGGCAAGAUUUCGGAGAGGGAGCCUGAGAGACGGCUACCGCAUCCAAGGAAGGCAGCAGGCGCGUAAAUUACCCAAUACUGAAACAGUGAGGUAGUGACAAUAAAUAACAAUGCCGGGCCUUUACAGGUCUGGCAAAUUGGAAUGAGAACAAUUUAAAUCCCUUAUCGAGUAUCAAUUGGAGGGCAAGUCUGGUGCCAGCAGCCGCGGUAAUUCCAUCU